rnacentral:miRNA from 1 species
GAAGUGUGCUGUGGUGUGUCU